UAGUGUAACAUUUUCCAACUUGGCAGUGAUUUAAAUUCAAGGGUUCCUCCUUAAAUGCAAAUGUGCUCAUACUUACAUAAGACUUUUAUUUCAAAGGUCUACCUCAGCACAUAUAAGACCUUUAUCUCUGAAGGUCUACCUUGACUAAGUAAGAUCUCUGCCUUGUAUUAAGCUCUAUACCUUAAUAAAAUAAAAACAUUUAUCUCGAAGGAGCAAAUGUCACACCUCUACCUCAGAAAACCAACUCAGCACUAAUCGAAGACUGCUAUAUAAAACCCUAAGGGAUAAGUAUUAUCCAUCACUAAAGUUGGUUCUAAUACAAAAGUAAAUUUAUGUAUUUUAAUAUUACAUUAAAACUUCUUUAGAUUUUUAUAAACAAAUUAUUACUUUUUUUUUAUGCGAAGUCAAUAUAGUCAAAUGAUAAAGUAAUAAUUUAAAAUUAUAAUUUGAUUUUCACACUUAAUAUCAAGUGUCAAACUCAUCAAAAAUUAAUAUUUCUUAUGAGAUUAGAAUAAAGUCUUAUUUUUAGUAUAAUUUAAUUCAAAAAAUUGUAAAUGUACUGAAAACAUUUAUUUUUUGGAGCAAUAUUAUUAAAUCAUUAUAUAACCUAAUUUAUAAUUAUUAAAUAAAUAAAUUUUUUUCCUUAAAAUGAUAAUAUUCCUAUUAGACACUAGAAUUAAACUAUACUAAAAAUAAAAAUUUACUCAUGCUAAUCUUAUGCGAAUCAUAAGUAAAACAAUACUAAAUGUUUUUAAGAUGUUUAAAUCUUGCUUGAAGUAAAUUGUACUAAAAAUAACAAAUUAAAAGCAAAUAAAAGUAUAUCUAUUAGUUAUUUUAUAUUAAUAAAGAAAGCUUUAUUUUUAUAAGAAACUAAAAUUUAACUUGUGUAUUUUAAGAGUAAAAAUUUAUAUCCUAAUUUGAUAAAGGAAAUGAAUUUUAAAUAAGUUUGAUAUUUGAUAGUAGUUUAAGAAUGAAAUCACAUUUUUAACUCAAUUUAGUAUUUGAUUGCAUUAACAAUGAAUAAUAGUUAGUUGUAUAAAAAUCUAAAGGAAUUCCAAUAUUGAAAAAAGAAAAAAGAAAAAAGAAAAAAAUGUAUGUAUUAAACCAGAUUUGAAGAAAUAAAUGAUAUUUAAUCCAAACCUUAAGAUAUUAAAAGUAUAACUUCUUCCUCCUUGUCCCACUUUAAUUGAAUAUAUAACUUCUCUAUAAUGUCUGAUUUAGGCAUUAAAGUCAGAUUACC
rnacentral:lncRNA from 1 species